CCUACGGGAGGCAGCAGUGGGGAAUUUUGCACAAUGGGCGGAAGCCUGAUGCAGCGACGCCGCGUGGAGGAUGAAGGUCUUCGGAUUGUAAACUCCUGUCGAGUGGGACGAAUGCCGUGAGGGUGAACAGCCCUCGCGGUUGACGGUGCCGCUGGAGGAAGCCCCGGCUAACUCCGUGCCAGCAGCCGCGGUAAUACGGAGGGGGCCAGCGUUGUUCGGAAUCAUUGGGCGUAAAGGGCGCGUAGGCGGCCGAUCAAGUCGGAGGUGAAAUCCCUCGGCUCAACUGAGGAAAUGCCUCCGAUACUGUUCGGCUUGAGUCCUGGAGAGGGUAGUGGAAUUCCCGGUGUAGCGGUGAAAUGCGUAGAGACUGGGAAGAACACCAGUGGCGAAGGCGGCUACCUGGACAGGUACUGACGCUGAAGCGCGAAAGCUAGGGGAGCAAACAGGAUUAGAUACCCUGGUAGUCCUAGCUGUAAACGAUGGGCACUUGGUGUUGCGGGUAUCGACCCCUGCAGUGCCGAAGCUAACGCAUUAAGUGCCCCGCCUGGGGAGUACGGUCGCAAGGCUGAAACUUAAAGGAAUUGACGG
rnacentral:rRNA from 1 species